UACGAAGGGGGCUAGCGUUGCUCGGAAUGACUGGGCGUAAAGGGUGCGUAGGCGGCGCGGUAAGUCGGAUGUGAAAUCUCGGAGCUUAACUCCGAAACUGCAUUCGAUACUGCCGUGCUUGAGGACUGGAGAGGAGACUGGAAUUUACGGUGUAGCGGUGAAAUGCGUCGAUAUCGUAAGGAAGACCAGUGGCGAAGGCGGGUCUCUGGACAGUUCCUGACGCUGAGGCACGAAGGCCAGGGGAGCAAACGGG
rnacentral:rRNA from 1 species